UACGUAGGGUGCAAGCGUUAAUCGGAAUUACUGGGCGUAAAGCGUGCGCAGGCGGUUGUGCAAGACCGAUGUGAAAUCCCCGGGCUUAACCUGGGAAUGGCAUUGGUGACUGCACGGCUAGAGUGUGUCAGGAGGGGGGUAGAAUUCCACGUGUAGCAGUGAAAUGCGUAGAGAUGUGGAGGGAUACCGAUGGCGAAGGCAGCCCCCUGGGAUAACACUGACGCUCAUGCACGAAAGCGUGGGGAGCAAACAGG
rnacentral:rRNA from 1 species